rnacentral:rRNA from 1 species
AUUGAACGCUGGCGGCAGGCCUAACACAUGCAAGUCGAACGAGUGGCGGACGGGUUAGUAAUGUAUGGGAAACUGCCUGAUGGAGGGGGAUCACUACUGGAAACGGUAGCUAAUACCGCAUACCAUCGGAUGUGCACAGAUGGGCUGAGCUAGUAGGUGGGGGAAAGGCUCACCUGGGCGACGAUCCCGCGUUGGUCUGAGAGGAUGACCAGCCACAUUGCAACUGAGACACGGUCCAGACUCCUACGGGAGGCAGCAGUGGGGAAUAUUGCACAAUGGGCGCAAGCCUGAUUCAGCCAUGCCGCGUGUAUGAAGAAGGCCUGCGGGUUGUAAAGUACGUUCAGCGGGGAGGCGUUACCCGCAGAAGAAGCACCGGCUAACUCCGUGCCAGCCGCCGCGGUAAUAC